rnacentral:rRNA from 1 species
AUUGAACGCUGGCGGCAUGCCUUACACAUGCAAGUCGAACGGCAGCACGGGUGCUUGCACCUGGUGGCGAGUGGCGAACGGGUGAGUAAUACAUCGGAACAUGUCCUGUAGUGGGGGAUAGCCCGGCGAAAGCCGGAUUAAUACCGCAUACGAUCUACGGAUGAAAGCGGGGGACCUUCGGGCCUCGCGCUAUAGGGUUGGCCGAUGGCUGAUUAGCUAGUUGGUGGGGUAAAGGCCUACCAAGGCGACGAUCAGUAGCUGGUCUGAGAGGACGACCAGCCACACUGGGACUGAGACACGGCCCAGACUCCUACGGGAGGCAGCAGUGGGGAAUUUUGGACAAUGGGCGAAAGCCUGAUCCAGCAAUGCCGCGUGUGUGAAGAAGGCCUUCGGGUUGUAAAGCACUUUUGUCCGGAAAGAAAUCCUUGAUUCUAAUACAGUCGGGGGAUGACGGUACCGGAAGAAUAAGCACCGGCUAACUACGUGCCAGCCGCCGCCGUAAGAC